rnacentral:tRNA from 1 species
AUUAAGAUGGCAGAAUGGUAUAUAGCUAAAGGUCUAAGCCCUUUCCAUAGAGGUUCAAUUCCUCUUCUUAAUU